AUGCUCAAUGAAAUGCCAUGUAUAGUAAAACUGAGACAAUACAGAGGGGAUUAGCAUGACCAUACACAAUGAUGAUAUGCAAAUUUAUGAAGUAUUCCAUAUUUUU
ensembl:snRNA LOC120099414 U6 spliceosomal RNA